ACCUUGCUAGCUCAACGGCUAGAGCGUGAAACUAUUAAUCUCAAGCUGCGGAUUCGAACCCGCGUAGCGCU
rnacentral:tRNA from 1 species